ensembl:lncRNA
CUGGAUGCUGGCUGUGCCUGUGGAGGUAUGCACAGCACUUGACCUCUGAGGAUGCAAUCGCUGGGACACUCGGGAACACUGGCCUCUCUGCACACUGUUCCCCACAGUGAACGCCUAAAGGUCCUCCUGUCACCCUGACGGCCUCCCAUCCUCGCCCAGCAACUCCCAGACUACAGCAAGGACCAGGACAGGCAAGCGAGGCUGCCCACUCCUGGCGUCCCUGUCAGAGUAAGUGGGGCUUGCGGGUCAGGAGACACACAUGUGGCAUAGGUCCCUAAGAGAGGAAAGAGGACCCCAGGCUGGAAGCCUCAGGAGAGGAGACCACAGCAGGUUGGAGAGAACUGGAAGCAAGUGCAGGGCUUUGUAGACAAAUGCUGUCAACAUCUUCCACGCGCUCCUCAGCGCUGGCCUUUGCGUGUGUCAGGCAGCCAGACCUGGGAUUCAGAGGCCAGGGUCCUGCGCCCACUCUUCCGGGGUUGAGUCUGGAGUCCCGGAACCCACAAACCCUCGGGGGUGGGCAGGCCACAAAGGUUGCUGGCUGACUGCUCACAUGGCACCACCACAGAUCUGAAACCAAGCCUUAGAGCUGGAAAGGCAGGGGACAAAAGAUAAAAGAUUGCUUCACUUGUUGCUCAGUAUCGAGGGCACACGUUAGAGUCUUCGUCACAACGUGCUGGUGGGCUCUGUGUUUCUGAUUUUAUAAAAAGCAAGCCAAACACAUUAGGUUGUCAAAUGGUAAAAAUAAAUAAUUCUUUUUCCUUUUGAAAUGUCAAGGGACAACAGGAAGACUGGAGCUAUCUUGGGAUGACAGAUGUAAGCCAUUUUAUCUUAACUGUCAAUCAUCUGAGUAAACCAAUUAAAAGAUAGUGAUUGAGAAAGUAGAUUUUAAAAUGACUCAAUUAUAAGCUGUCUACAAGAAAGUCACUUCAAAUAUAACCAUCUGUGCACAUUAAAAGUAAAAGGAUGGGAAAAGAUAUAUUAGGUAAACAUUAGGCAAAAUAAGGCAAGUUUUUUAAUGGAUCGAGAUCCAAAUGAACAAAAGAAAAUAAAAGCACCAUUUCUCGGCAAAAGUCUCUUUACUAUCUGCCAGGUGAACGAACAGAGGGGAAAGCUCAGGACUGAGAACUGUGUUCUAUCCUGCUGGCAGGUGGGGACAUUCCUGGGUCAGCCACGCUGGAGUCAGAAAAAGCGGAGUGGGGCAACUGUAACCACGACACUUACAGGAGGGAGAGGAAGCUUCCGCACUGCUCUGUGGAACCUAACCUCAGUUUUGCCAGCCCCAGCCCUGGAGGUCAGGAAUUUCUGUUGUUUCCAAGCCACUCGGACCCCAGUCUUCUGGACAAUGCCAGGGUAGACUAAGACCUCUCCCAUUUAUGACAGUUUCAGGACUCGGAAAUACUGUCAAAAAUAUUUCACAGGUCUCAAAGACGGCUGGCUGAUGCCCGACCACCCUCAUCUCCGGCACAGAGGACCCUGUUGACUGUCUAGCCACCAGCGUGGGGCUGCAGCCUCAUUGCCCGAGUCUGGCCCAGCACCAACCCCAAUCACCCCUCGUUGAGGAGAGAGGUGGCCUCAGAGGAGAGGAACGUCACUUUCGGGAACCCAGAGGGCUCACCAAGGCGGGCAUUAGGCCUCAGUCUUCCCAGCCGGUCGCCCCCAGUGGGGCCCUUCAACCUCCCACACCAUGAGCUGUCCCACAGCCCACAGCCAUCAGAUCCCCAUGCCGCAGACCCUGGCUGGAACCAGCCAGAGCCGCAUCCCCCAACACACAGCCGAGUUCAGGGGAACCUGUGCUGCGGAGGCACCGUGUGAAAGCCAGAGACCCCUGGGCCACAGAUGGGCAGAUCCAGUGUGAGCGCACAAGCAGCAGGGCAAGUGAAGCAACACCAAGACUCCAAACGAAGGCAGUGUGUCCCUCAGUACUGGUCCCAGAGAUGACAGAGAGCUCGGGGAGCGUCCCAGGGCUCUCGGAAUGAGGAGCUCAGGAAGACAAAUACAAAGUGCAGCUCAGACCCUCAGCAACAGACUGCAAAACCAGAGGGAAGGGUAUCUGCACUUCAGUGUGAGUCUUUUGAAAUAUUCCGCUUGGAAGGAACGGACGGAGGGGAGAGAAAAGGAAGAAAGACAGACAAAGAGAAAGAAACAAAGAUGCACAACCUUAGAGACUUUGGGGACACCAUUAAAUGCAAACAAGUCACAUUUUUGAGUGCCUCAAAGAGAAAAAAAGGAAUAGAAAAAUCUAUUCAGUAAGAUAUUUGAAAACUUCCUUUCCUGGGGGAAAAGAUGGAUAUCCAGAGGUAGGAGGGCUCUGGGACCCAAACAGAUGUGCUGGGAAUGGGCCUCACCCCAACGUAAACCAUCAAAACCAUAAGAGAAGGAGGAUCCCACAAACAAAAGGAGAAGGACACCAAGUCAUACUUCAGGAAGUGCCAUUAGACCAACAGCAGUUUUCUCAACAGAAACCUUAUAAGCCAGGAGAGAAUGGAGAGACAGAUUUUAAAUCCCAAAGAAAAUAACAGUCAGCCAAGAGUAUGUACCCAUGAAGGCUCUCCUUCAGAAAUGAAGCCCAAAGGAAGACUUCUCAAGCUAAGCAAGCAGAGGGAAUUCCUCACAGCCAAGUCAGACUCUUGAGGGGCCCUGCACCCUGAAGCCCAAGAACAGGGACCGCCAUCAGGAGAACAUGCCACUAGGGGCACAGACGGGCAGCGGGAGUGAAGGGGAAGCUGCCCCAUCUCAGAGAAGAUGCGGAGGAAGUAAAGCUCAAACAGGAAAUUGGACACAGUGAUGACAGCGAGCCCUCAUCUCCCCAUAACACCUCAGAGGCAGGCAGACAAAGUCCAUCAGCGACAGCACAGACUGGCUAAGCCCAGGCCGGCUGCCUGCCAGGGACUCGCCUCACCGUGAGGAUGCCACAGACCCAAGGGAACAGAUGCUGAAGGUGAGCCUUGGAAGUGGGCCCCACACAAGCAAGAGCAGCCGUUCAUUCCUGCAUCCAAUGGAAGAAAGACAGAGGCUGCAGGGCUGGUGAUGAUGAAAGGGCAGCAGGGCACCCACAUGCCGUGUGCACUUAAGGAGGGACAAAAGCCUACAAAGACACAAAGGAGAUCAUUACAUAACUAUCAAGGUCAAUUCAACAAAAUAACCAUCGUAAGUGUACACGCACCCAUUGCCAGAGCGCCCCAUUUCAUAAACCAACACUUAAAUCUAAAUGGGAGGCAGAACCAAAGAUGCUCCCUGCACCCUCACCACCCCGCCGGUCAUCUGGACAGGACACUGGCAUGGGGACAGCAGAUCCCGGGGAAGUGACGCUGACUGGAGACUCCCUCCCACUUCUGGAGAACUGGUGAGGCAUCCUCCAGAACCUUAGCCACCAGCAAGUGUCCAGCAAUAAUCCUCCGCGUUAGCCACCAGCAAGUCUGAACAAACUUUUUAAGAACCCAAAUCAUAUCGUGUAUCUUCUUUUCCACAGUGAAAUAAAACUAGAAGUUAACAACAACAGCCAGAGAAGAACAGAAAGGGGAUGAAGAAAAGGAGUAAGAUAUGCUCUGUGCAUGUCCCAACUCCACACAAGGAAUGCAAACAUUACAGACUACAAACGUGAACUAAUAAAAACUAACAAAGGAAACUACAAACUCAGGAAGACUUAACAUGCUACUGAAUGAACAAACUGAAUCAUGGAACAAAAAAGUCAGUUUAAAAAAAUGCAUGCAACAAAUGAAUAUAUAAACAAAACAUACUAAAACUUACGUGAUACAGCAAAAAAAAAAAGCAUCUCCCUAAGAAGGAAAUUUAUAACAAUAAACAUCUAGUGUGAAAAUACAGAACAGUGCAUCUCAAAGAUAUAUAAAUACCACACCCCAAAUUAGAUGGAAAGAAAUAAUAAAGAUCAGAAAAGGAAAAAAAUAAAAUAUACGGUAUUUGUCAUACUGUCUCUUUCUUCAUCACUAAUGUUAUUCACUUGGGGG